rnacentral:misc_RNA from 1 species
GAUGAAGAACGUAGCGAAAUGCGAUAAGUAGUGUGAAUUGCAGAAUUCAGUGAAUCAUCGAAUCUUUGAACGCACAUUGCGCCCCUUGGUAUUCCAUGGGGCAUGCCUGUUCGAGCGUCAUUUGUACCUUCAAGCUCUGCUUGGUGUUGGGUGUUUGUCUCGCCUCUGCGUGUAGACUCGCCUUAAAACAAUUGGCAGCCGGCGUAUUGAUUUCGGAGCGCAGUACAUCUCGCGCUUUGCACUCAUAACGACGACGUCCAAAAGUACAUUUUUACACUCUUGACCUCGGAUCAGGUAGGGAUACCCGCUGAACUUAAGCAUAUCAAUAAGGAGGA